GUGCCAGCCGCCGCGGUAAAACGUAGGAGGCAAGCGUUAUCCGGAUUCACUGGGCGUAAAGCGCGUGUAGGUGGUUCGUUAAGUCGCUGGUGAAAGCCCCUGGCUCAACUGGGGGAGGUCUGGCGAAACUGGCGGACUUGAGGGUCCGAGAGGAAGGUGGAAUUCCCGGUGUAGCGGUGGAAUGCGUAGAGAUCGGGAGGAACACCAGUGGCGAAGGCGGCCUUCUGGCGGGCUUCUGACACUGAGACGCGAAAGCGUGGGGAGCAAACGGGAUUAGAAACCCUCGUAGUCC
rnacentral:rRNA from 1 species